UACGGAGGGUGCAAGCGUUGUUCGGAAUUAUUGGGCGUAAAGGGCGUGUAGGCGGUUCGUUAAGUCUGAUGUGAAAGCCCCGGGCUCAACCUGGGAAGUGCAUUGGAAACUGGCGAACUUGAGUACGGGGAGAGGGCAGUGGAAUUCCUAGUGUAGGAGUGAAAUCCGUAGAUAUUAGGAGGAACACCGGUGGCGAAGGCGGGCUGCCUGGACCGAUACUGACGCUGGAGACGCGAAAGCCGUGGGGAGCAAACGGG
rnacentral:rRNA from 1 species